rnacentral:rRNA from 1 species
CCUACGGGAGGCAGCAGUAGGGAAUGUUGCGCAAUGGGCGAAAGCCUGACGCAGCAACGCCGCGUGAUUGAUUAAGCCCUUCGGGGUGUAAAGAUCUGUCAGUGGGGACGAAACUUGACGGGACCCACAGAGGAAGCACCGGCUAACUCCGUGCCAGCAGCCGCGGUAAUACGGAGGGUGCAAGCGUUGUCCGGAAUCAUUGGGCGUAAAGAGUUCGUAGGUGGCAUAUGAAGUCUGGUGUUAAAUGCAGACGCUCCACUUCUGUUCGGCACUGGAUACUGGUAAGCUGGAAUGCGGUAGAGGUAACGCGAAUUCCUGGUGUAGCGGUGACAUUCGUAGAUAUCAGGAGGAACCUCGGUGGCGUACGCGCUUUACUGGGCCGUACUUGACACUGCGGCACGAACGCCGGGGUAGCAAAUGGGCUUAGAUACCCUUGUAGUC